rnacentral:misc_RNA from 1 species
UAUCCGUAGAUGAACCUGCGGAAGGAUCAUUAAUGAGUUGUCAUGGGGUUCGAUGCUGGCAGCCAGUUUUUGGAUGCAUGUGCUUGCCCUAACAAUCAUCUUCUUCCAAACACCUGUGCACAUUUUUGAGGGAGUCUUGAGUUGGUUGCCGCUCUUGGGUGAUUUUCUCACAUUCCCUUAAAUUAUUAUACGCUAUUAACAAUGUUGAACGUGCUCUGUGCCGCAAGGCCAUUAAUAUAAUACAACUUUUAACAACGGAUCUCUUGGCUCUC